UACGUAGGGGGCAAGCGUUGUCCGGAUUUAUUGGGCGUAAAGAGCGUGUAGGCGGCCAGACAGGUCAGCUGUGAAAACUCGAGGCUCACCUCGAAGACGUCGGUUGAAACCGUCUGGCUAGAGUCCGGAAGGGGAGAGUGGAAUUCCCGGUGUAGCGGUGAAAUGCGCAGAUAUCGGGAAGAACACCCGUGGCGAAGGCGGCCGUC
rnacentral:rRNA from 1 species